rnacentral:rRNA from 1 species
CCUACGGGAGGCAGCAGUGAGGAAUAUUGGUCAAUGGGCGAGAGCCUGAACCAGCCAAGUCGCGUGAAGGAUGACGGCCCUACGGGUUGUAAACUUUUUUUGCCAGGGAGCAAUUGGGUCCACGCGUGGGCUUAGCGAGAGUACCUGAAGAAAAAGCAUCGGCUAACUCCGUGCCAGCAGCCGCGGUAAUACGGAGGAUGCGAGCGUUAUCCGGACGUAUUGGGUUUAAAGGGUGCGUAGGCGGAGUAUCAAGUCAGGGGUAAAAAUUCGGGGCACAACCCCGUCGUGCCGUUGUAACUGAUGUUCUUGAGUGGGCGAGAAGGAUGCGGAAUGCGGGGUGUAGCGGUGAAAUGGAUAGAUAUCACGCAGAACUCCGAUUGCGAAGGCAGCAUACGGGCGCCGACUGACGCUGAAGCACGAAAGCGUGGGUAUCGAACAGGAUUAGAUACCCUUGUAGUC